UUAACGUUACACGAACGUUGUGAGAACGUUAAAAUGAAACGUUACAAUUCAACGUUCUAGGAACGUUUUGUUUUAACGUUGUGUGGAAGUUUCAGUUUGGUUAUGUUACAAAUAAUACGUUGUAGAAACGUUUAAUAUUAGUUACUUUUUAACGUUACUUUACUAACAUUCUUAAAACGUUCGAAUAAUGUUCCUCAUUUUUUUUUUUUAAAUAAUCUUUCCAAAAAAAAUUAAAAAAAAUAGCAAAUUAAUAGCAAAAAAUGCAAGUAAGAUGUUUGCCGUCUUGCUUGUUAAUCAAACCUUUAUUUUGUUUCAGAAUGUGAAUGCUGAUAGUUUUUAAAACUAAAAAACCGACACUGUAUUAAGAACAAAAUAACUUUUUAUUCCUUAAACAUAUAGAUUGCUCGAUUAAAAGUUAAAAUUCAUUAUUCUCAUUAUUUAUUAUAACUUUUUUCAUUCAACUUUAAUUUGUUAAACAUAAUUAGCAAUUAUAUACAUAAUGAUAUUUGAUACAGCCAUUAUGUUAAUCAAGCAUAUUCUGAUAAGGUUGACCUAUAGAAUGAUGUUGACCAGAUGUUAGACAAAUUUCAAAGAUAGUUGCUAUGGUAAUUAAGGUUAUAGGAAAUCUAAGUGUAAUGGGAUAGUCACUUUUGAGACUAUUUCCUGUCGUGUAUUUGUAAGAAAGCAGUGAUAACAAAGAAAACAAAAGAGAAAAUCGCAUCAUCUAAAGAGAAAGAAACAUGGGCAGUGAAAUAAUUUUUAUGAAGAUUUGCUACACUGGAUAAGAAUUAAACAAAAGACGGAUUCAGAAAAGUGCCAAAUGAAAGUGUAGCAGAAAACAAAAGGAACACUCUUGUGAAUAGAUUGCAAAACAAGGACAUAACUGUAUAAACCUAAUGAAGUGAAAUUACAGAACCAGGAAGUAAGUGUAUGAAAAUGAUGAAGUGAAUUACAAAACUAGGAAAUAAUUGUAUGAACCGAAUGAAGUGAAAUUACAGAACUAGGAAAUAACUGUAUGAACCUAAUGAAGUGAAAUUACAGAACUAGGAAAUAAUUGUAUGAACCUGAUGAAGUGAAUUACCGAACUAGGAAGUAAUUGUAUGAACCUGAUGUCAGAAGUGAAUUACAGAACUAGGAAAUAACUGUAUGAACCUGAUGAAGUGAAUUACAUUUAUAGGAAUGAAACAUCAUGAAUAUACUUUAUAAUUUUCAUUCUAGAUCUGAUGUUGCAACGUGUAGUUACAUAAAAUUAAACUUUUAAGAAUUUGCUCCUUGUCUAGCUAAAAUAAAUUAUGUAUUGGUAUUCAUA